UCAGGACGAACGCUGGCGGCGUGCCUAAUACAUGCAAGUCGAGCGGACGGAUGGGAGCUUGCUCCCUGAAGUCAGCGGCGGACGGGUGAGUAACACGUGGGCAACCUGCCUGUAAGACUGGGAUAACUCCGGGAAACCGGGGCUAAUACCGGAUAACUCUUUUCCUCACAUGAGGAAAAGCUGAAAGAUGGUUUCGGCUAUCACUUACAGAUGGGCCCGCGGCGCAUUAGCUAGUUGGUGAGGUAACGGCUCACCAAGGCCACGAUGCGUAGCCGACCUGAGAGGGUGAUCGGCCACACUGGGACUGAGACACGGCCCAGACUCCUACGGGAGGCAGCAGUAGGGAAUCUUCCGCAAUGGACGAAAGUCUGACGGAGCAACGCCGCGUGAGUGAUGAAGGUUUUCGGAUCGUAAAACUCUGUUGUCAGGGAAGAACAAGUACCGGAGUAACUGCCGGUACCUUGACGGUACCUGACCAGAAAGCCACGGCUAACUACGUGCCAGCAGCCGCGGUAAUACGUAGGUGGCAAGCGUUGUCCGGAAUUAUUGGGCGUAAAGCGCGCGCAGGCGGUUCCUUAAGUCUGAUGUGAAAGCCCCCGGCUCAACCGGGGAGGGUCAUUGGAAACUGGGGAACUUGAGUGCAGAAGAGAAGAGUGGAAUUCCACGUGUAGCGGUGAAAUGCGUAGAGAUGUGGAGGAACACCAGUUGGCGAAAGGCG
rnacentral:rRNA from 2 species